rnacentral:rRNA from 1 species
UAGGGAAUAUUGGGCAAUGGGCGGGAGCCUGACCCAGCCAUGCCGCGUGCAGGAAGAAGGCGUUAUGCGUUGUAAACUGCUUUUAUACGGGAAGAAAAGGCCCAUGCGUGGGACAUUGCCGGUACCGUAUGAAUAAGCACCGGCUAACUCCGUGCCAGCAGCCGCGGUAAUACGGAGGGUGCAAGCGUUGUCCGGAUUUAUUGGGUUUAAAGGGUGCGUAGGCGGCCGAUUAAGUCAGCGGUGAAAGUCUGUGGCUCAACCAUAGAAGCGCCGUUGAUACUGGUCGGCUUGAGUGCCGUAUGGGUACAUGGAAUUGAUGGUGUAGCGGUGAAAUGCAUAGAUACCAUCAGGAACACCGAUAGCGUAGGCAUUGUACUGUGCGGCAACUGACGCUGAGGCACGAAAGCAUGGGUAGCGAACAGG